GACGAACGCUGGCGGCGUGCUUAGCACAUGCAAGUCGAACGGAAAGGCCUGCUUUCCCUUGUGGAUUGCGGGUACUCGAGUGGCGAACGGGUGAGUAACACGUGAGUGAUCUGCCCCCAACUUGGGUAUAAGCCUGGAAAACUGGGUCUAAUUCCCGAUAGGACUGCAGGGUGGUGCCUGUGGUGGAAAACGAUUUUCUAGUGGUUGGGGAUGAGCUCGCGGCCUAUCAGCUUGUUGGUGGGGUAAUGGCCUACCAAGGCGGCGACGGGUAGCCGGCCUGGGAGGGUGGACGGGCACAUUGGGACUGGGAUACGGCCCAGACGCCUACGGGAGGCAGCAGUGGGGAAGAUUGCAGAAUGGGCGGAAGGCUGAUGCAGCGACGGCGCGUGGGAGAUGACGGGCUUCGGGUUGUAUGCUACUUGCGACCGCGAGGAAGCCACGUGGUUGGAAGGGUGGUGACGGUAGUGGCAGAAGAAGCACCGGCUAACUACGUG
rnacentral:rRNA from 1 species